GGCAGUGCAAGUGGAGAAUCUGACAAGAUCUGAGGGUAAACUGUAGGGUAAACCUACUAGGGCAGAGUCUAGUGUUUGGCCUAGGAGACAGCAGCACUUGUUCACAUGGUGGAGCUCUAUGUUCCUUGAGACCCCUCAGAUACACAGAGCACCAGUUGACCACUUUUCAAAGAUUUGAGUUGAAACCCAUGGCACAUUAAAUCCAGGCAUACAGAACCACUUCCUGAAGGUGAAAGUCUUCAAGAACAUAAUGGCCAACUUGACAAGAUGGUGCAGACAAGAUAAGCCUCAGACUAGAUAAGCUGAGAAACAACCUCAGGCAUGACUGGACUAGAACCACAUGAACUCAGAAGUCUUCCACUACUAGCUUUCCCAUGUUAACUGCCUGUUACCCAGUGUCUUAGUGCUUUUGUCACUCAAGGUGACCAAAGUCACCACAGGCCAAUGGCUUCCUGUGUCUCUCUGCCCAAGUUCUUCUGCCACAGACCCUGUUUGCCAGGAGUUCUGGGAGUGAGUCCCCCAGGAAGAACCCUCAGCCGCUGAGUAUGGAUAUCCUGAGAUGUAUAUACAAUACUAAUGACCCAUCUCUCCAUGCAAGUCACCCGAACAAGAAGUUCAACAGUACCAUACAAUCAUCUCCAGUGCAACACUCCAAUAAGAACAAUGGACCAACCCCAUCUUUUGUGAUAAUGCUGUACAAAAGAACCUCCUACAGCAAUCAGAACAGACAUUUCCAUGGAGAUUAGUGUCUUUAGUUCAGCUUACAAGCACUCCCUGCCAUGAAGGUUCGUCAAAACCAUAGUUCUGCCAGUUCUUCAUUCCUUGGUAUUAGUGAUACUACAAGACAAGUUCUGGGUUAGGGAAAAGAAGAAGCCUUCAUUAUCUCCCCACUUAUAUUUAGAAUCUAAAGAGGCCAAGCGCAGUAAAAACAGAACAGUGAUUACCAAGGGCCAUCAGGUAAAGGAUAUGGGGGAAUGUUGGCUAAGGAGUACUAAGUUGCAGUUCUGUAAGAUGAGAAAUUCUAAAGAUUGUACAUCAUGGCAACUACAUUUUAAUACUGUAUUGAUUACUAGAAAUUUGCUAA